rnacentral:pre_miRNA from 1 species
GGCUGGGGGCUGUAUGAUAUGUUUGAUAUUCGGUUGUUUUCCUCAUAUCACAUCAACUAAAUAUCAGACAUAUUCCUAUAGAGCCUGGCA